GUCUUGGUUAGCUCCGUUGGUAGAGCGAUCCACCGGAAAAGGAGACGUCGCUGGUUCGAUACCAGGACCAGACG
rnacentral:tRNA from 1 species